UGCAGUAAUUGCCACAAUCAAUGAAGCAAGCAGGCAGUGAUCAAGACUCAUACUAAAGUUUCUUUCUUUUUUUUCAGCAUUAACACAUAUUUAAACCCACUAUCUGUGGGUAGAAGUCUGUAAUUGUCUGAGAAACCUACUGUUUAGAGAAGGCACAUUGGCUGCUGCUUUGGCUUUUGUGAGAUCCAUUGGGAUCUGAGGACUUGCACCCCAUGUACUAUUCCCAUGUCAAUUCUCCCCAUGGGGAGAAGCAGAAUCCACAAACUGUGGCAAGCCUUGGAAGAGAAGGGCAGUGCUGACAGCAGCUUCAUCCAAAAGCCAAAGGGAGUCCUUUACCUGCUUGAUUUGAGAGCCUGGGCAAGGGAAAAGCAAAUUCUGCAAAGGGCCCCAGCACUGACUCUGAUCCCGUGUGCAGCCCCAUCUGGGACACGAGCCUCCUUCUCCCUCAGAAAGACCUCUGGAAAGUUCAAAGUGUCAAGAAAAUUGUUGCAGAACUGUGAUAAGACAUGA
rnacentral:lncRNA from 1 species